UUGCUGUGAUGACCAUCUUAGGACACCUUUGGAGUACCCGUGAAAAAAAGCAAGCAGUUAUUUCUGAGCAAC
rnacentral:snoRNA from 1 species